GCCAAGUAGAAGUGAUGGCAGUAAGAGGACAUAACAUGCAAGCUACUACUGAAAGAAAAACAUCUAAUCCCUCUAAUUUUGCAGCCUCCAUUUUAGGAUUCUCCAGGGCUAUGCAGCAGUGAGCUGUUUGCUUCUCCAGUUUCCUUAAAGCCUUGCUCUUUAUUGUCCAGAACCCCAUGUGUCCUUGGCUGCUCCAGUACUCACCUGCCCAACCCCACUUGUCUGUUGGUCUGCAGAGGCUCGUUUCACUUCAUCAAGGAAUGGGGAAUGCCUUCUGGGUAACACCAGCCAAGAAUGCACAUUUCCAUAGCACGGAUGGCGUUCAAGAUGAUGAAGAUGUGCACUGAUGGAAUGGCAGGACAAGAGCACUGCUGCCUACAGUCUCUCUUUCACGUAAUUUUGGAAAACACAACCUGCCAACACAGCUCAGAUCCAGCUAAAGAAUACACUGCUGUCUUCAAACACAGCUGCAUUUACCAAAGUUUCACAUAGUACAAUUGGAAGUCAAAGACAGACCUCACUUUGAAUUCCUUAAAGUAAUUCUGAAGUAACAAUUGGGUUGAAAACAUUCAAAUCUUAUAUCUUAUGCCCAUAGAUAUGAAACACACACUUGAAGAAUGUCUUAUCUUGAAUCUAGCUGCUGUACCUAAGCACAUCUAGAGUUGAUCUGUAGAGCCACUGAAAUACUAAGAACGGACCACAAAAGCAGAGUAUUGGGAAAAAACUUAUUUUUGAACAAGUCUGGUUACAACAACUUC